UUCUUCAUUUCCAUCUACAUUUAGCUAAGAUCCUUCACCUCUAGAUAUAAGAUAUUUUUCCUGGCAUAAUUGUAUGGUUUCCCCUUCUAUUAUCAGUUUUAAGCUUCGUUCUUUUGUUCCUCAUUUAGUUGCAAUGUUUUCAAAAUAAUCUCGUGCUACACGACAAAUCAGUACUCAACAUAAUAUGAGUCGGCAAAUCUACAUCGCGUGUUAUCAAUAAGUCUUGGAAACUACUUUUUCCUUCCAUAUUAACUUGUCUUUUACCGUCAUCUUCAAUAUGGUAUCUUUGCACAGAGACAAUAUUCACGGGUUUCGCUUCACAGUUAUUUACUGCGAGCCCUAAUUCUUUAAUAAAUUCAUCCGUUAAAAACUCACACACGCUCCUGUUUCUAGGAGCGCUGCCACUUUUGCAUAUGUAUUAUCAUGAGUAGUGCGAUCUGCCUAACAAAGUUACUCUUGAGAUAUGUUGAUUAUAGCCUUCUUUUCAUUAUUUUUAAGGUCACUCCCUUGUUUGUUAUAGCCUUCUUUUCCUUAUAUUUAUGUGAGGCGGUUACUCCCUUGUUCGUUAUAGCCUUCAUCUUAUUAUAUUAAAGGUUACUCCCUUGUUCGUUAUAGCCUUCAUCUUAUUAUAUUAAAGGUUACUCCCUUGUUCGUUAUAGCCUUCAUCUUAUUAUAUUAAAGGUUACUCCCUUGUUCGUUAUAGCCUUCAUCUUAUUAUAUUAAAGGUCACUCCCUUGUUCGUUAUAGCCUUCAUCUUAUUAUAUUAAAGGUUACUCCCUUCUUCGUUAUAGCCUUCAUCUUAUUAUAUUAAAGGUCACUCCCUUGUUUGUUAUAGCCUUCAUCUUAUUAUAUUAAAGGUUACUCCCUUGUUUGUUAUAGCCUUCAUCUUAUUAUAUUAAAGGUCACUCCCUUGUUCGUUAUAGCCUUCAUCUUAUUAUAUUAAAGGUCACUCCCUUGUUUGUUAUAGCCUUCAUCUUAUUAUAUUAAAGGUCACUCCCUUGUUUGUUAUAGCCUUCAUCUUAUUAUAUUAAAGGUUACUCCCUUGUUUGUUAUAGCCUUCAUCUUAUUAUAUUAAAGGUCACUCCCUUGUUUGUUAUAGCCUUCAUCUUAUUAUAUUAAAGGUCACUCCCUUGUUCGUUAUAGCCUUCAUCUUAUUAUAUUAAAGGUUACUCCCUUGUUCGUUAUAGCCUUCAUCUUAUUAUAUUAAAGGUCACUCCCUUGUUCGUUAUAGCCUUCAUCUUAUUAUAUUAAAGGUUACUCCCUUGUUCGUUAUAGCCUUCAUCUUAUUAUAUUAAAGGUUACUCCCUUGUUCGUUAUAGCCUUCAUCUUAUUAUAUUAAAGGUUACUCCCUUGUUCGUUAUAGCCUUCAUCUUAUUAUAUUAAAGGUCACUCCCUUGUUUGUUAUAGCCUUCAUCUUAUUAUAUUAAAGGUCACUCCCUUGUUUGUUAUAGCCUUCAUCUUAUUAUAUUAAAGGUCACUCCCUUGUUUGUUAUAGCCUUCAUCUUAUUAUAUUAAAGGUUACUCCCUUGUUUGUUAUAGCCUUCAUCUUAUUAUAUUAAAGGUUACUCCCUUGUUCGUUAUAGCCUUCAUCUUAUUAUAUUAAAGGUUACUCCCUUGUUCGUUAUAGCCUUCAUCUUAUUAUAUUAAAGGUCACUCCCUUGUUCGUUAUAGCCUUCAUCUUAUUAUAUUAAAGGUCACUCCCUUGUUCGUUAUAGCCUUCAUCUUAUUAUAUUAAAGGUUACUCCCUUGUUCGUUAUAGCCUUCAUCUUAUUAUAUUAAAGGUUACUCCCUGUUUUGUUCUUCGCUCAUUUUCCGUUUCUUCCACUGCAAGUGUGCAUAUUUAUUUAUUUAUUUAUUUAUUUAUUUAUUUAUUUAAUGUUAUUUGUAGUAGUUAACUGAGGGGGGCACUACCCUGGCCUCCUCUUCCUCUGAUUCUCUUACUUCACACAUUUAUCUUAAUACUUCACACUAUUGUCCAUAUGCUUCAUUUUUUUAUUUUUUCAUUCAUGACUUUUUAUCCAUACCUCACACUUUUCUUAGUAUUUCACAUUUUUUCUAGAUCAUACUCUACACUUCCUACCUGGGGGACGCGGGUUAGGCCUUUAUAAAGUCACUCUAUGGCUGCAUGCCCGCCGCGGCACACCACCACUUUGUAAGGCGUAGAGCCCCGUGCUCCCCUCCAUCCUGGGGUAACAAUCCUAAAACAAACAAACCUGAGAGGCAGGACGCUGCCGCUGCCUGUCACCUGACACCCUCUCACUGAGGAGUGGAUCGCGGCGCGGGUGGAGAGAGACUGCCCAUCCCUCUCCACUCCGCCCGGGAAGGAACUCAUGAAUUCUCGGUUGAGUCGCGUGUGCUACCCAUUGCACUACAGAACAACAGUGGUUGGCCAGAGUUUCCAUUACCAUAUCGUCAAAGUCCAUGUCCUCCGGAAGAACCAUUAAUUAUAUAAUUAAAUCGUCACUAUUAUUUCCGCCACUUAAAACGAGCAAAGCUUAAUGAAAAUAAGAGGCGUUUUCUCGUCAGAGUAAAUUAAACAAAAGCACUGUAAGCACAUGUCCCUAUUUAUCCCUAUACCGCUGCCGCCAGUUUUGGACCCUUCUUUUCUUGUAUUAAAUCAACUCUUUUAUCACUCAUUAAUUACUCC